GGGCCUAUAGCUCAGUUGGUCAGAGCAGCGGACUCAUAAUCCGUUGGUCCUAGGUUCAAAUCCUAGUGGGCCCACCA
rnacentral:tRNA from 1 species